rnacentral:Y_RNA from 1 species
GACUGGUCUGAAGCUAGUGAGUUAUUGACUGUGCACAAUCAGUUAUAGAUUAAACUUCUUGUUCUACUACUUUCCCCCCUUCUCACUCCUGCACUGAACUAGUCUUUA